rnacentral:rRNA from 1 species
AUGUUCCACUUCUUAUGCAGUAGGUUGGCCGACACCAUGGAUGAGCAGAGCACAGCCGGCGAGAUACCUGCGGAGGUCAGUGUCGGAGGAGACGACGAUGAGGAAGUGGAGGUGGUGGGAGUGGGAAGUACGGCUGCUGGAUCAAUAAAGGGUGGAGGUAGGAGAGGCGUUGUGGCACUGAUGGCGCCGGCGGCGUACUUGUGGUGGCUGGGAACAAAGGAGAUGGGGAGGAGUGGAGGGGAUGACGAGGAGCAACGGGAGGUGGCUGUGAUGGGAGUGCUAACUGCGGUGUUAGAGGAGAACGCAGGAGAGGCGUCUGCAGAUGGACGACUUCGACGGCGUGCUUGCCGAGGUCGGCGUUGGAGGAGACGGGAAAGGGUAGAGAGGACGUUGAGGUGGAGGUGCGUCAUGGUGGUGGGCGGUGGGGCUGAGAAGCAUGAGAGGCGCAGGAGGUGGACGGCGCCAGCAGCAGCCGCCUCGCGCCGCUGCCAGAUCGAUUUAAGUGAUGUCCAUCGGUGA